CGUGUAGGCGGUCCGAUAAGUCGAAUGUGAAAGCCCGAGGCUCAACCUCGGAAGUGCAUUCGAAACUGUCGGGCUUGAGUACGGGAGAGGGAAGUGGAAUUCCUGGUGUAGAGGUGAAAUUCGUAGAUAUCAGGAGGAACACCGGUGGCGAAGGCGGCUUCCUGGACCGAUACUGACGCUGAGACGCGAAAGCGUGGGGAGCAAACA
rnacentral:rRNA from 1 species